rnacentral:rRNA from 1 species
UACGAAGGGUGCAAACGUUGCUCGGAAUUAUUGGGCGUAAAGCGCACGUAGGCGGCUUGGCAAGUCGGAUGUGAAAUCCCUCGGCUCAACCAAGGAAGUGCAUCCGAAACUGCUGAGCUUGAGUACUUAAGAGGUCGCGGAAUUCCCGGUGUAGAGGUGAAAUUCGUAGAUAUCGGGAGGAACACCAGUGGCGAAGGCGGCGAUCUGGGAAGAUACUGACGCUGAGGUGCGAAAGCGUGGGGAGCAAACAGG